rnacentral:lncRNA from 1 species
UUGGUCCAGAACUUCUCAGUGUAUACCCCAGGGCUGUAUGCCUCAUUGGAGGCUGCAGACAGCUGGCACAAGAGUGGGAGGCACUUCUCUGGGGAUACAUGAGCACGUCCAAGGGCUCAGAAGGGAGAGCCUGGUGUUUGACGCUCCCUGUUGGAAACAGUUUACUGACCUUCCUUCCCCAGCUUACACGGACAAGGGCAUCUGCCUACGACUCAAUGGAUCCAUAUACUCUGAGGCAUUUGGAGACAUCUCAGAACCUAGACACUUGCAAAACCCCUGAGAGCAUAGACUGAGUUUCUGAAACAGCAACACUGGGAUCCAGUUCCCACAGAAAAGGAGACUCUUACAUAAAAAUGGAAGCAGUUUCUACCCCGGUGAUGUGCAAAUUUUGACAGGACACACCAGGAACAUGGAAAGAAAAUAACACGAUUCCUUCAAAAGCUCAUAACUCUUCAGUAAAUGAAUCCAAAAAUAUCAAUGUGGAUGGAAUUCUGAACAAAGAACUUAAAGUUUGUUUUUUAAGUCAUCAAUGGAUUCAAACAAACAGAUGAAUGAGUUAAGAAAGAUAAUUCAGCAAAAAA